AUCCCCGGCACCUCCAC
rnacentral:piRNA from 1 species